UACAGAGGUGGCAAACGUUGUCCGGAUUUAUUGGGUGUAAAGGGCAUGUAGGUGGUUUUGUAAGUCAAAGGUGAAAUGGCCCGGCUUAACCAGGUCAUUGCCUUUGAAACUGCAGGACUCGAGUACGGAAGAGGAAAGCGGAAUUCCCAGUGUAGCGGUGAAAUGCGUAGAUAUUGGGAGGAACACCGGUGGCGAAGGCGGCUUUCUGGUCCGAUACUGACACUGAGAUGCGAAAGCCAGGGGAGCAAACGGG
rnacentral:rRNA from 1 species